AAACCCAGUCCAGUUCAAAGUGAAUGAUGACAGACCCGUGUGGCAAAUGUCUUAUUUACAUAAAGGCCCACUGUAGCUCUGAUUGGCUAUGGCGCACCGGUCUGCAUAGACUCCGGUCCUGGUCUAGACGGAUGUUUUAUGUACUGCAGUGUCUAUUAUUAUAAUAUAAUAAUAUAUAUUAUUAAUUGUCCAAACGCUUUCCCACUCUAUUUUGAUAUAGAAUUUUCACAAAUACCUUCCUCUACGUGUUUCACAAACAUUCAACAAAUUUAUAAACACUUAGACGUGUUCAUUUCCAGGUGUUCAUUCUUCCUGCGAGGUGUUGAGGAGAUUUAAUGGUGCUAACAUGCCAGUUUCAACAUGUCAGUUUCACUUUUUAAAGGUAUUAAAUGAUGAGGGCCCUCUUUUCUAUUGACAUGUGUUUUCUCCCAGCUCCUCAGAGUGGCACCAUGUCAGUGAUGAAGAUCGGGCCAGACUGAUCAACAAAUCUGAAGAUGGAGAGUUCUGGAUGUCGUUCUCAGACUUCCUCAGUCAGUACUCUCGUCUGGAGUUCUGUAACCUUACCCCAGACACCCUCUCAGAAGAUGAGAACCAGAAUUGGGCUCUUAACAAGUUUGAAGGCGCCUGGAGGGAAAGGUUCCACAGCCGGGGGCUGCCGCAACUUCCCCAUUUCAUUCUGGCAGAACCCCCAGUUUGUGAUCAAGCUGGAUGAACCUUCCUCGUUGGACUGAUCCAGAAGAACAGACGCAGAAUGAGGAAGACAGGAGAGGACAUGCAGACCAUUGGAUCUAUGAGUGGCUGAAUGUGUCUCUGCUCCAGAAGAAGGAUUCUACAUAUUGAGGAAGUUUUACUGAACACUCACACAUUCACUUUGAUAAUAAAAAACAUAAGUGAUGUUUUCAUUUCCAGUUUGAUUCUGAUCCACAACAGCAAAGCCCUGACAUUUGGAACGUUUUAAAGCUAAUGGAAAACAGGUCUAGUUUGCGGACAAGACUUUAAUGCUCCGAUGACGCUGUAGGAUUACAUUUACAUGUGAGU